rnacentral:rRNA from 1 species
AGCGAACGCUGGCGGCAGGCCUAACACAUGCAAGUCGAACGGAUCCUUCGGGAUUAGUGGCGGACGGGUGAGUAACACGUGGGAACGUGCCCUUUGGUUCGGAACAACUCAGGGAAACUUAGGCUAAUACCGCAUGUGCCCUUCGGGGGAAAGAUUUAUCGCCAUUGGAGCGGCCCGCGUCUGAUUAGCUAGUUGGUGAGGUAACGGCCCACCAAGGCGACGAUCAGUAGCUGGUCUGAGAGGAUGAUCAGCCACACUGGGACUGAGACACGGCCCAGACUCCUACGGGAGGCAGCAGUGGGGAAUCUUGCGCAAUGGGGGAAAGCCUGACGCAGCCAUGCCGCGUGAAUGAUGAAGGUCUUAGGAUUGUAAAAUUCUUUCAGCGGGGACGAUAAUGACGGUACCCGCAGAAGAAGCCCCGGCUAACUUCGUG